rnacentral:misc_RNA from 1 species
GAAAUGCGAUACGUAGUGUGAAUUGCAGAAUUCAGUGAAUCAUCGAAUCUUUGAACGCACAUUGCGCCCUUUGGUAUUCCAAAGGGCAUGCCUGUUCGAGCGUCAUUUGUACCCUCAAGCUUUGCUUGGUGUUGGGCGUCUUUUUGUCUCUCCCCUUGUUGGGGGAGACUCGCCUUAAAACGAUUGGCAGCCGACCUACUGGUUUUCGGAGCGCAGCACAAAUUUGCGCCUUCCAAUCCACGGGGCGGCAUCCAGCAAGCCUUUGUUUUCUAUAACAAAUCCACAUUUUGACCUCGGAUCAGGUAGGGAUACCCGCUGAACUUACGC